UACGUAGGGUGCAAGCGUUGUCCGGAAUUAUUGGGCGUAAAGAGCUCGUAGGCGGUCUGUCGCGUCGGCUGUGAAAACCUGGGGCUCAACCCCGGGCCUGCAGCCGAUACGGGCAGACUAGAGUGCGGUAGGGGAGAAUGGAAUUCCUGGUGUAGCGGUGGAAUGCGCAGAUAUCAGGAGGAACACCGGUGGCGAAGGCGGGUCUCUGGGCCGAUACUGACGCUGAGGAGCGAAAGCGUGGGGAGCGAACAGG
rnacentral:rRNA from 1 species